AUUGAACGCUGGCGGAAUGCUUUACACAUGCAAGUCGAACGGCAGCACGGGGGCAACCCUGGUGGCGAGUGGCGAACGGGUGAGUAAUACAUCGGAACGUGCCCAGUCGUGGGGGAUAACGUAGCGAAAGUUACGCUAAUACCGCAUACGAUCUGCGGAUGAAAGCGGGGGACCGUAAGGCCUCGCGCGAUUGGAGAGGCCGAUGUCAGAUAAGGUAGUUGGUGCGGUAAAGGCUCACCAAGCCGACGAUCUGUAGCUGGUCUGAGAGGACGACCAGCCACACUGGGACUGAGACACGGCCCAGACUCCUACGGGAGGCAGCAGUGGGGAAUUUUGGACAAUGGGCGCAAGCCUGAUCCAGCCAUUCCGCGUGCAGGACGAAGGCCUUCGGGUUGUAAACUGCUUUUGUACGGAACGAAAAGCCUCUGGUUAAUACCUGGGGCUCGUGACGGUACCGUAAGAAUAAGCACCGGCUAACUACGUGCCAGCCGCCGCCGUAA
rnacentral:rRNA from 1 species